GUGCCAGCAGCCGCGGUAAUACCGGCAGCCCAAGUGAUGGCCGAUCUUAUUGGGCCUAAAGCGUCCGUAGCUGGCCGCGCAAGUCCAUCGGAAUAUCCACCCGCCCAACAGGUGGGCGUCCGGUGGAAACUGUGUGGCUUGGGACCGGAAGGCGCGACGGGUACGUCCGGGGUAGGAGUGAAAUCCCGUAAUCCUGGACGGACCGCCGAUGGCGAAAGCACGUCGUGAAGACGGAUCCGACAGUGAGGGACGAAAGCGAGGGUCUCGAACCGGAUUAGAUACCGAGUAGUCC
rnacentral:rRNA from 1 species